GACGAACGCUGGCGGCGUGCUUAACACAUGCAAGUCGAACGGAAAGGCCCUGCUUUUGUGGGGUGCUCGAGUGGCGAACGGGUGAGUAACACGUGAGUAACCUGCCCUUGACUUUGGGAUAACUUCAGGAAACUGGGGCUAAUACCGGAUAGGAGCUCCUGCUGCAUGGUGGGGGUUGGAACGUUUCGGCGGUUGGGGAUGGACUCGCGGCUUAUCAGCUUGUUGGUGGGGUAGUGGCUUACCCAGGCUUUGACGGGUAGCCGGCCUGAGAGGGUGACCGGCCACAUUGGGACUGAGAUACGGCCCAGACUGCUACGGGAGGCAGCAGUGGGGAAUAUUGCACAAUGGGCGGAAGCCUGAUGCAGCAACGCCGCGUGCGGGAUGACGGCCUUCGGGUUGUAAACCGCUUUCGCCUGUGACGAAGCGUGAGUGACGGUAAUGGGUAAAGAAGCACCGGCUAACUACGUG
rnacentral:rRNA from 1 species